rnacentral:misc_RNA from 1 species
CAGAGUUGCAAAACUCCCCAAACCAUCGUGAACCUUUACCGCUAAACAGGCUUCGGCGGAUGGCCCGCCGGAGGAAUCUAAAAAACCAUCGCUUUCAGUACUGGCCUCUCUGAGUUACUGUACUGUUAAUCAAGUCA